rnacentral:lncRNA from 1 species
GGUGUCGAUGAGCGACGAGGAUGGACGCGGACGUGCUGGGCGCGUGGUGGAACUGGAAAAGGAGCAGCGGCAGGGGAUUCCGGGGGUGCUCCGAAGGGGGGCGGCUCGAGGCGGUAGGGACCAAUGGUCUCGCAGUCGCUGUCGUGCAUACCUAAGGUGAGGCGCACUCCUCCUUCCUUCGUACUACCUUCCUUGUCCUUGGGAUGGUUCGAUUCCCACAUGCCCGUGGCUCAGUGUCCCCCCAUUGUGUCAGCAAGGUUGGAGACCAUGGGCAAGCAACUGAUUCCUGUGGAUUCGGGUGUACUGUAGUUGAUUUGCGGAUUCUGAUUAGCAAGCUACGCCAAAUUGGCUAUCCUCCAACGGCUGUUUAGGAUCUCCAAUACCGAGUAGUAUGAAUUGAAUUUCACGCACUUUACGAUCAUCUAGUAGUAUGAAUUGAAUUUCACGCGUUAGGAAAUUGGGAAUCAGUCAACCAAUACCGAGUUAGUUUGGCCACCCUGUGACAGUUCAGCACUUUCGUGGGCUGGGAUCUGAAGGAAAUUCCUUUUUUUAAGAACUUAUUAAUCACUUUGCACAAGUUAUUAACUGAUGUCAAUAUUUUGAUUUACUUGUGUUGUUUCUCCGUUACGGUAUUACAUGUGGAAUGGUGUUAAGAAAAAGGGCAGUUGCUACUCGCUAGAGCGCUACAUCAUAGCAAAAUCUGAUUUUUCUUUGCCAACAUCAUUGAAUCAUAAUUUACACACGAUCUAUCAAAAAACAAUUUGUUGUUUCAAGGGCGAGCUUCCUUCCUUCUUUUUCUAAUCACAGUGUGAUUUUUUAUACAUGCAUCCAUCUGCACAUCCGCAGUGUACCAUUGGAAAAACGUUGCACAAAAACCGUGCUCCAAGGUACAGCUGGGAAAAAAAAAGAUGGAAGGGGAAAAAAAGAGAGGAAACAGGCUUGAAGCCCUGGAAUCAUCUUCAUCUUCAGGAGCUGCACAUGGCAAAUUGCUGGUUCACUCCGCUGGGUGGCUGCACCAUCCAGCUCAGGUGGUGGCAAGGCAUCAGUAUGGAACUGAGGAGCGCCUUCUCAACAUCUUGGGAGGCUUCUCUCCUUAUCAAACACAUCACAUACUCCAUCACUGCUGUAUCGCAAGGCAUUGUGAUCCUUCCAUCACUUGUGAACCCAAACUCUUCCUGUGAUAGCUUCAGGAGCUCCGAGAAGACUGUUGUGUGGAGGUAAGCGAGGGGGAUCUCAAACCGCUUCCCGUCGGAAGAGUAGACAAUGCAGUUGCCCUUCCCUGCAACUAUGCUGCUGCAAGAUGGGUUGAUCUCCUUGUCCACAGUUGUGACCCUUUUCCGCCCGAUUGCACCCAUUCCCUGCCACUUCUUGGACAGUUGAGCUAGCUUCUUGGAACUGAUCAUGGUGGCUUCCUGCCUUUCAAGGAAAUGGAUUCUUGUCUUUGAGAUGAAAGGAUCAGAAUUGAUUUGAUUUGUGUGUGGUGAUGGUUCGCCUUAGUGAUCGUGUAUUUAUAGGGCACUUAUGUAGUAGGACUUGGGAGGGUCUGCAUCUUGGUCUUGGCUAUUACAAAUGGCAAGCUGGCAAAGGGACAAGCCCACGAGCUUCCUUGGUGAGAUGUUCCUAUCUAUGGUUGGGAGGUUCAAUGCACAGGACCAUUGUUUAUCACAUGGUGGAGCCAUGUUGACUGGCUUGGUACGUGAUUGCUUCUGCCUACCAGAGUGGGCCUAAUUUUGACUCAAUGGUGCUAGGAGUAUAGAGUCUUUUAUUUAUACAUUAACAGGGUCCUUUUUCUAUACGCGCUCAUGCAGGGCGAAGCUAUGUACAAUUAGCCUGGUGCACACUGCACAGGCAUGCCAAUUGUCUUUGACCAUAUAUGCACCAGUUUUUAGUUAAAAAUAUUCACUAUACAGCAUAAUGCCACUUUGAUGGCCACCACCAUGAUUUUAGUUCUAGCUUCGCCACUGCACUGAUGUACUCUUUAUAUCUAUCAUCCAAUGCAAGCUCUAUUCAUAACAAACAGUAAAAAUUGGCAUGUCCAGUUUUUCUCAGUUUGUUUCCUGAGAUAUUAAGCGUGAUAACUGACUUACUGUCCCUUCUUAUAUAGGUUCAAUUCACCCUAUCCUAUGUUGUUCAAUGAGAAUCACAUUAGAUGAGGUAUAUUUCUCUGCUCCUUACGGUAUUAUUUGCAGAAACAAUUUCAUUCCGCAUCUGCCGGAUUUUGUGGUCUCUUUUCCAGCAAUUGCCAUGUGAUGGAAACAAGAUAACAUGGUUGCGAAUCAGCCAAGGCAUUCUCUUGAAAGUUGUUUACAUCUAACAUAGAAAUUUGGCAGCCAGUAUAUUCCACCUAACUAUAUAAACUUUUGCACUAAGGUUCCUGCUUAGAUGGAGCAUAUAUUUUGCUACUUCUCUUCCUAGAUGGCAUGAUGGUCUGUGGAUGAAGUUCGGAUCUGAGAAUGUUCAUUCUAGUGUUGAGUAAAUAUGUAUAGGUGACAAAAGAAAUAUCCCGUGUUGUUUCAAUGAAAUAAAAUAAGCUUUUACAUUUAUUGAUGUGCCUAGUUGGUGAGCUGCAAGGCCAUGAACCUGUCAAUGCGAUGUUUGCUACAAUGAAGGCUGUGCGAUUAUGAAUCUGAUGUUGCUGGGCCAAAGUUGGGUGCACCGUGGUCCUUGCAAUGGCCAUUGUAGGGACUUUGUAGUUGAAUAAUUGGAGCUGUAUUCUGCACUAGUGGCUCUGCAUUUGAUAUAAGCACUCAGCAAUCAUCUUAGUCCCAGCUCUUGUGAACAUAAGGACAGAUUUAUAAAAGAUCCUUUUGAGAGCGACCAUCAAAAAGAUUAUCUAGGAUGCUUCAUGAGUCCUUCCUUAGUUGAUGAGAAGAGAGCCGUACAGUGGCCAAGAGACACAAGGGAAGCAUGUAGGGUCCUGAGUUUUAAGAAGUAGCCUCCUUCGUUAGUUGCCUAAGGAGAAUUGGAGAUGUCAAUAGGCUAAAUGCUUUUGCCAACAUUAAUUCUGUUAGGACGGUGCUGGUUGGUUGAAACAACUUGCCCGGCAAUCCCUUAGUACCGCCAUUCUACGUUGUGGCCCAACUAGCCCCAGCAUCUCAUGUGCUCUCCAUUUCCUUGUUUCUUCCUGCCAUUCCUGGUAGACUCCUGCAAUAAGACCGAAGUUAUCUGAAUACAGUUAUGGCCAUUUCUUUUUAAAAUUGUCGGUACUUUGACUAGUGCUGCAUGGCAAAUUUUACGACCAUGUUUUUGCGUUGAAAUAAGCUUAUCCCACGUGCAUAUCUGACUCCAGUCCAGGUGGUCAUUUCAGGUUCUCAACUCUCCAUGCCCUUUUUGUGAUUUGAAGAAGGCAUAUUCUUUGUUUAGGGUCUUCAGGGGAUACUUGAUUACAUAUUUUACUUGUGUAAUGUAUACAUCUUUUGUCCAUCAUUUCAGGUGCUUUUUCAUAAGUCUCAAAGUUGAAUAAUAUGAUCUUGGGAUCAGGAUAGUCAGUUGCUCU